CUGAUCGAAUGAUGAACAGUUAUUUUGAUGUGUUUCGUCAUUUUUAUGUGAAUUUAUUGGAGGCAAAGUAAUAUUAUUGGAGAGAUAUCGUUUCGAUCGUCAUUUUUUUUUUUACCAUUGACGAUUCGAUUGUUGCUCGUCUACAU